UAGUCACUGGAUCCCAAGUGAGAAUCCAAAUCGUCUGCUCUGAGCUCCUUGGUCAGGAGUUUAGAAUAUUUCUGUGUGUCCAAUUCUUCUCCCAGUGUGAGCUGACAGGGUAGCCCCCUCUCUUGGCAGCCCACAAACAUCACCCCUUUUGGAACCUGGAACCUGUCUAUAAUGCUGGGACACUCUCCCCCCAGGGUCAUCAGGAAUCAAGGAAUUCUCCUCAAAUUCUACUGCGCUAUUUUGUACAAUAUGAGUAACCCCGGUGUCCACUUCUGGAUGCGUAGAGGCACCCAGGAGUGCAGGAAGGCCACCUCUCCUGGGCUGCAGAGGAGGACAAUGAAUCUUCAGUCUUCCUAGUGGUGCCAGCUGGUGGGAGGCCCUGGAGACCAGCCCCCUCUAAAGUCACUCUCCCUCCUUGGUAUCUACGCAAAUGCAUUGAAAUCUAUGUCCCCAUAAAAACAUGCACACAGAUGCUGCUCAGUGGUAAGGAACCCUGUUAGUAACUAUGAGGAUGCAUGUUCCAUCCCUGGCCUCACAAAGUGGGUUAAGGAUCUGGUGUUGCUGUGGCUCUGGUGUGGGCAGGCGGCUACAACUCCAAUUAGACCUGUAGCUUGGGACCCUCCAUGUGUCAUGGGUAUGGCCCUAGAAAAAGACAAAAACUAAAUGAAUAAAUAAAGUAAUAAAGAGUUAAAAAUUGAUGAAUGAAAACCAUUUGAUCCACUCAAUAGCUGCAGAAAAGGCUUUUAACAAAAUUUAACACCAAUUUAAGAUAAACUCUUCAAAUGUGGACUCAGAGGGAAACUACAUCAACAUAAUAAAGGCCACAUAUGACAAACCCACAGAUAACCUCAUUCUCAAUAGUGAAAAGCUGAAAGCCCUUUUUGCUAACACUCAGCUUGUGUUUAAUACACAGAGAAGUUUGUGAUUAUCAUUGUUACUCAUCUCACUGAAUUGCAGUCAUUAAUUAAAUUGGUGGAAUCCCACUGUGGACAUCCCACAAUUUCCCACAAUUUCCUGCUGUGGCUCAGCAGGUUAAGAAUCCAGUGCAGUCUCCAUGAGGAUAUGGGUUAGACCCCUGGCCUCACUCAGUGGAUUAAGGAUCU
rnacentral:lncRNA from 1 species